GGUCCCGCACAAGCGGUGGAGUAUGUGGUUUAAUUCGAUGCAACGCGAAGAACCUUACCAGGGUUUGACAUCCUGCGAAUCUCUUGGGAAAACAGGAGAGUGCCUUUCGGGGAACGCAGUGACAGGUGGUGCAUGGCUGUCGUCAGCUCGUGUCGUGAGAUGUUGGGUUAAGUCCCGCAACGAGCGCAACCCACGUCUUUAGUUGCCAGCAUUUAGUUGGGCACUCUAGAGAGACUGCCGGUGAUAAACCGGAGGAAGGUGUGGAUGACGUCAAGUCAUCAUGCCCCUUACAUCCUGGGCUACACACGUACUACAAUGCUACGGACAAAGGGCAGCAAGUUCGCGAGGAC
rnacentral:rRNA from 1 species